rnacentral:lncRNA from 1 species
ACUUCGGGUGGGUCAACCAAUGUCCACACAUCGUUGACCUUUAUGGACUCCAUUUCAAAUUUCAUGGACUCUAGCCAUUUCUCAGAGUCAGGUCUCUACAUUGCAUCCAUGUAGGUGAUCGGAUCCUCAUCGUUUUCAUCAAGUUCGACAGGAUCGCUGUUUCGGACCAAAAAAAUAUAGUAUCUAUCCGGUUGACGUGGUAUUCUACCAGAUCGCCUUAAGGAUGCAGGAAUAAUGGGCUCC